GAUCCCACCACAUUCCCCAUCGGCGCCUCCCACCCCGAGCUUCCACCGCGCCGCCGCGACUCGCGGACGGCACCGCGCCACCGAUUCCUCUAGCUUCCCCUUCCUCCUUAACAGCUGCCGUCUUCCUCCUCGGCUACCACAUGAGAUCCACGCCGCCCUGCCCCCAGCGACCUCGUGAGAUCCACCGCCGCCUUGAUCCGCGCAGCGCUUCCCCCGGCGACCUCCAGGGGGCAGCUAUCAUCUGGAUGCGCGCCAUCCCGUGGGCCGCCGGUCGGGUCUUGCGCCGCCCCGCCGCCUCCCACCUCCAUGCCGGUAGGCUCGCCCUUCACUGGCAGCCGCCGACCCACCCCAUGCCUGCCCUGGCCUUCCACCGCCGCUCCGACGAUGGUGCCACCCCGCUGCCCCACUUCCCCCUACCUCUGAUCCCCAUCCCGAGCUCAAACGCCACUGGAUCAGCGUCGGUCCGACGCCCCACAACCUCCACCUCGCGCUGGCAGUUCUGGAGCCCCGCCCCAUCCCGCCGCUGCCGCCCAGCCCAGGCACCAACGGAUCCGGCUGCAUCCCCAUCGCCAGCCCCACAAUCUCCACCGGCGCAGUGGAGCAGCACCACCACCAUGGCCGUGGACAUGCGAGGGGAUCCCGAGGCUAGUGCGGCCAUGGCCAUCAUCCCGUAUUUGUAUGAGUAUUUGUUUGCCUAAUCAUAGCCAGCUCCACCAUAGGUUGUCCCUCCCGCUCUCUGUACCCCAAUGGCAUGCAGUUCUCUGAAGUUUGACCAUGUAGAGGAUUUGAGCAGGGGUACGCGCGACAACAAUGAAAAAAGCCGGGAUGGCUGCGUCGCUCAGGGCUGCACGCCACGCUGUUCCUCUGUGCAGUGUCGCACACGUGUUGUAGAGGUUCACUUGCUGCAUUGUUGUAUCGAAACUACUACCCACACGAUACUGCUGCACGAUCUUUGCACGACGUGCUAAUCUAGCGGCCAGUGCCCUUCUGAAUCCUGUGCAUGUCCGGCUGGAUUUGAGUAUCGUGCAUGAAUCGUCUGGAUCGUGUCGUGUGUAUAGCACUGCUGUUGUUGUAUGUUCACUUGCGGCCAUACAUUGAUUUUUAUUUUGUCUGUGUGCAGUUAUGCGGUUGAGGGUGUGCUGCUCAUCACCGGGGUGUGCUACGGGGACAGCACCGCCGUCUCCUCCCUCGUGCAGCUCGGUUGGGUCGUCGAUGAAGUAUGGAGGCACGUGAGAGGGCGAUGGGUUUACCCUCAACGGUCUGCAUCGAUGACAUUAUUAGCAGUAAAACAAAUGCAAAAAGAUGAGAAGUUUAGAACCAUUAGCACCAUAGAAUCUUCAUUUUUGCAGUGAAGUGUGUAUUGUACAGUAUAAAAAAUGGGUGUAUUGUUUUGGUGCAAUUCAUUUUGAUUUACAUUUUGGAAAAAUGGUUAUGCAUCAUGCUGAGCAGUUAAC